GCGUUUACAAACCUUUAGCUAGACACAAAAGUUCUCCAAGUCCCCUACCUGAUUAGCUAGACACAGAGCGCUGACUGGUGCGUUUACAAACCUUUAGCUAGACACAGUGCUGAUUGGUGCGUUUACAAUCUUUUAGCUAGACAGAAAAGUUCUCCAAGUCCCCAUCCGUCCCAGAAGCCCAGCCGGCUUCAUCUCUCACUGGCAUUGGCAGGGCAGCGGGACUUUGCGACACCUAGCCCGGGCACUCCAGCAGCCCAGAGGGAGCUCCUCCCAGACAAUCAAGAGGGAAAGAGGGGAAGCAGAAAGAGACGGAGACCUGCUAUCUUGGCCAACGAUCCCGUGAAGAGGGAACGGCGGUCUACGCAGGGAAUUCAGCUUCCUAUCAAGCCUAGCAGGUGCUGGGCUUCGUUGCUGUUUCUGGCAGAGUCCUGCUUCUCGCGCCCGCUGCACUGGGUUUGGCGUCUCUGCUGUUCGCUGAGAUCUGCACACUCCAGGAGCCAUAGGGAGGACGCCAGGACAGCCCCGAAGACGAGAAUGCCUCGCUCCUCCUAGGACGGGAGGAAAAUCCCACAAAUCCUGUCUACUCCAAGCAGCCGCGCCCCUCGGGAGACCACCCCAGUUGGAGGGGCCCACUCCAGCCACCGCUACACCGGGACGCGCUCCUCCUCCCCCUGUGCCCGCCCCUUCUCGUGAGGGACCACCAGGAGGCCCCUCGAUUCCCCAGCAAAACACAGGUUUUGGAGCCAGAGUUUCUGAGUUUGAAUGUUUGGUCUGCUACUGACCAACUCUAUGGGCUUGGGUCAAAAACCAAUUACAUUCUAGGAGUGACCUUGAUGACUUAACUCUGUAAUCUGCAGCAACCUCAGAGGAUCAUGGGAUGCAUUAUGCACGUCAUGGAAUGGAUUGUAAUGUGUAACAUCUAUGAAAUCAAAGGAUGAAGAAGAUCGUGCCCAGAGCUCUCCUUGGGGGUGGAUGACAGAAUGAACAUUUACUCUGGGCUCACUGGAAAAGCUCCAACGUCUUGGAAAUUGAGUGGGUAUAAGGAAUGCACAAAUUAGUUUUCCUGUGACAGCAUGCAGAGCACUUUUCCAAGCCCCGUCACCUGUCCUUAGUUCCUCUGAACUAUACAGAGGAACAAAUCAAUAUAAAUGCAGAAGAGAAAAGAUGAGAUCAGCUGAUUUUGGUGUUGAUAUGGGUAAUAUCUGAUUUACAUUCAGUUUUCAUGUGGGAUCUCUGUGCCUGGCUUGGUUUAAUGAUUCAAAGUGACAAUACAGUCAACUUCUGAGAAAAUGAUCUAUGGAAAAUUGAAAGUUUAAAAUAUUUUCUUCCUCCUAACUUUGAAGAGGACUUGUUUCAUAUCAAAUCUGCCUGUUCAUCUGCCUGUCCGUCCACUCACUGUUUAUCCAUGGAUCUUGGUGUUAGCUUCUGAGGUGGUAAUGAAUUCAAAACCCUUCUGUUCCUACUCUCAUAUUAAAGGUUCAAAAAUCAACCUUGAUUGCAAUGAAGCACUAAGCCCACAACCACAACUCAGGUGAGGGCUGCCUUGAGGGUUGAAUGGGUUAAUUAAAUAAAAUGUGUAUUAUAUAUCUCGAAGAAAGUAGAGGUAUAUCAACUUGCUUGGUAUCUCACAGCUUAGCAAGUUCCAGAGGGGCACUCAAACCCAGGAGAUAAGCUUCCAAGUCAGGGCUAAUGCCAUGACACCCAUGAUUUAUGGGUGGAUUGGUGGCAGGACAAGAUAGAAAGGAACCAGCGGUGGCUCAGGGUUUUGACCUGAGCAACCAGGGAGAGGAGGUGUCGUGUAGACAGAUAGGAAAGACACAAUUCUUUGAACACAUUUGGGACUCAGAUAGUCAAGGCAGCAAGGAUGAAGAUGGUUUGUCUCAUCACCCGUCUUCCAGGUGACUCUGGUGGGCUCCCUCUUUGAAAGGGUGCCUUCUGGGGGCUGACUUUCAGGCUAGCGGUUGGCUUCUUUUGACUGGGGGUCAAGUGGGCCUCCAGACACCCUGAGCUGCAUGGAGAACAGCAAGGGCCUUUUGCUCAUCUGCAGUGUACAGCACUGCCUCUACUUCAUCUUGAUGCUGCUCCUGGUCAGUCUUCUCGGCACGCUGGGGACCUCCUUACUCACAGACCCAAUUCCUGUUAAACAAGUUAAGUGCUGCCAGGUAGGGUGCUCUGGGGUGGACCCUGCAGUUCUAGGGAGUCACUGAAGAAUAGGGAAAUUCCUGCAUUGUCUUUGGAAAGGGGAGGGUUUGGGGGAGCAUUGGGGUGGGCAGAAACAGGCAGGUACAUUUUAAAGGGCUCAGCAGAGUGAAACAAAGCUGAACUCAACCAGAUGUCCUGCAGCGAUUUGCCAGGUAUUCCUUUAGAUCGAGAAGUUUGGCUUUUAAAAUGCAAAUUUUCCUUGGAAGUUUUAAAUCCACCAACCUUAGUAUGAAUUAAUGCAAUCAGGGCACUCCCAGCUGUUACCCACCCAGGGGGAAUGAAGCCAAUGGACAUUCAGCCCCCACUGUAGUGCAGUAGGUGAGAGCAUGGCAGGCUCUGGAGCAGACUGCCAGGAUGCCGAUCCUAGCCUUGCCCUUACUAGUGUGUGUGAUCCCGGAUGAAUAUUUAACUUUUCUGUGGCUCAGUUAAAUGGAUGUAAUAAUAUCUACCUCAAAGAUCAGUUAUGAGGAUUAAAUGAGUUAAUCAAUGUAAAGCACUUAGAACAGUGUUUCGCAUAUGUACGCCUCAUCUUAGUAUUAGCUGCUGUUAUUGUUACUAUUAAUAAACAAUCCUUGAAGAGCAAGAACCGAAUUAUCUGUGCCCCACAAUACCCAGCAUCACUCCAUUACUAUGACAGACCUGCCACAUGUAUUUCUUGGAUGGGUUACUCAAUGGAUCUCUUUGCCACUUCUACAUUUUUCUUCUUCUACUUUGUUUUAUAGCAGAGGAGGGGCAGAAUUUAGGUGGAGUUCAUUGCUCAGCUGGACUGAAAAAGCUGAACUGGAAUAACUUUCAGUGAACAUGGGCAGUGGGUAAACAUUGGGAAUUUGCAGACUUUCAAAUGAGUCCUCUCUCGAGCACACAUCCUCUAAGUUAGUAGCAACACCAUUAACUCUUUGAAGACUAGGAAGGCACAGUCUUAUUGUCUCUGUAUCCUUAGUCCCCAGCACAGGGGUUCGUAGAAGAGGAAUGACUGAAUCUUCAGGUGUCUGUGGGCUGCCAGGAGGACACUUGGCCAAGAACUAUGUCUCAUCUUGCUUUCUGAGACCUCUUCCCCUCUUUUACACUUGUUCCUGUCUUUUGAAUACCAGGAAGCCCAGGUUGCCUUCUGACCUUCAGAGGCCCUCACACCACCUAUUCCGGGGGCUCCAGUACCAUCUUUCCCUGUAAAUGAGGCAGCACAGACUUUGAAUUUAGGCAAACCUGGGUUCAAGUUUCAGCUUCACUGGUAUCUUGCUACACUCAUAACCGUAGACAAUUUUACUUAUUUUUGUUAAGUCUCAGUAUCUUCAUCUGCAAAAUGUGGAUAAUAGUAACUAUCUCAUGGAAUUGUCAUGAGGGAGUUUCUUAAAUGUAGUUAUGUACAGAACUCUUUUAAAGGAACUCCUAAAAUCUCAAUGUUUAUCCAAAUGAGUUUUUCAAUAAUGCUACUUGGAUACAUGCAAAUAUAAUGUUCUAUAAUAUUUAGCUAUAAAUUCAAUGUUUUUAUACAACCUAAACAAAAUUACAAACUAAAUACAAAUAAAACUAUAACAUUAAUAAAAUACAAAUUAACAAUUUUAAUGUAACAGAUAAUGUUUUGCUGAAAUUAAACGUUGCUGAUGUUGAGUUUAAUUGGGUGUUAAA
rnacentral:lncRNA from 1 species